rnacentral:rRNA from 1 species
GACGAACGCUGGCUGCGCGCUUAACACAUGCAAGUCGAACGGAAAGGCCUGCUUUCCCUUGUGGAUUGCGGGUACUCGAGUGGCGAACGGGUGAGUAACACGUGAGUGAUCUGCCCCCAACUUGGGUAUAAGCCUGGGAAACUGGGUCUAAUUCCCGAUAGGACUGCAGGGUGGUGCCUGUGGUGGAAAACGAUUUUCUAGUGGUUGGGGAUGAGCUCGCGGCCUAUCAGCUUGUUGGUGGGGUAAUGGCCUACCAAGGCGGCGACGGGUAGCCGGCCCGAGAGGGUGGACGGCCACAUUGGGACUGAGAUACGGCCCAGACUCCUACGGGAGGCAGCAGUGGGGAAUAUUGCACAAUGGGCGGAAGCCUGAUGCAGCGACGCCGCGUGGGGGAUGACGGCCUUCGGGUUGUAAACUCCUUUCGACCGCGAGGAAGCCACCUGGUUGGAAGGGUGGUGACGGUAGUGGUAGAAGAAGCACCGGCUAACUACGUG